AUUGAACGCUGGCGGCAUGCCUACACAUGCAAGUCGAACGGCAGCACGGGGGCAACCCUGGUGGCGAGUGGCGAACGGGUGAGUAAUACAUCGGAACGUGCCCUGAAGUGGGGGAUAACGUAGCGAAAGUUACGCUAAUACCGCAUAUUCUGUGAGCAGGAAAGAGGGGGAUCGCAAGACCUCUUGCUUUAGGAGCGGCCGAUGUCGGAUUAGCUAGUUGGUGAGGUAAAGGCUCACCAAGGCGACGAUCCGUAGCGGGUCUGAGAGGAUGAUCCGCCACACUGGGACUGAGACACGGCCCAGACUCCUACGGGAGGCAGCAGUGGGGAAUUUUGGACAAUGGGCGCAAGCCUGAUCCAGCCAUGCCGCGUGAGUGAAGAAGGCCUUCGGGUUGUAAAGCUCUUUCGGCGGGGAAGAAAUUGCUCAGGAUAAUACCUUGAGUAGAUGACGGUACCCGCAUAAGAAGCACCGGCUAACUACGUGCCAGCCGCCGCGGUAAAAC
rnacentral:rRNA from 1 species